AGGAUGAACGCUGGCGGUGUGCCUAAUACAUGCAAGUCGAACGGGAUCUUCGGAUCUAGUGGCGAACGGGUGAGUAACACGUUGGUACCUACCCCUAAGUGGGGAAUAACUGCCCGAAAGGGUGGCUAAUACCGCAUAAUCCCGCAAGGGUAAAGCAGUAAUGCGCUUAGGGAGGGGCCUGCGUCUGAUUAGCUAGUUGGUAGGGUAAAAGCCUACCAAGGCGACGAUCAGUAGCUGGAUCGAGAGGUUGACCAGCCACACUGGGACUGAGAUACGGCCCAGACUCCUACGGGAGGCAGCAGUAAGGAAUCUUCCACAAUGGACGAAAGUCUGAUGGAGCAACACCGCGUGCAGGAUGACGGCCUUGGGUUGUAAACUGCUUUUAUAGUGGAAGAUUAUGACGGUACCAUAUGAAUAAGGACCGGCUAACUACGUGCCAGCAGCCGC
rnacentral:rRNA from 1 species